rnacentral:rRNA from 1 species
UACGGAGGGUGCUAGCGUUGUUCGGAAUCACUGGGCGUAAAGCGCGCGUAGGCGGCCCUGUAAGUCCGUUGUGAAAGUCAAAGGCUCAACCUUUGAAAGCCGAUGGAUACUGCAGGGCUAGAGUCCGGAAGAGGCGAGUGGAAUUCCUGGUGUAGCGGUGGAAUGCGCAGAUAUCAGGAGGAACACCAAUAGCGAAGGCAGCUCGCUGGGACGGUACUGACGCUAAGGCGCGAAAGCGUGGGGAGCGAACAGG